AUCCAAUCGUAUCAUGACAACACCCUGUUUUCAUGGCUCGGUACCGUUACAUUCUCACUGCAUCACCACUACAAGGCAGAAGAAACGAGUCGAAGCUGCGAGUGCAACGACAUAAAUUUAAUACAUUUACAAAACACGGAUAUUUGUCUAAUGUGUUCGUUGACUGUUCGUCCGUGAAGGCAUUCCAGGUGGAAGUAGUAUGCUUAUUAACAGAAUGGACGCAGAGAGAGGUGAUCCCUCUGCCAGAAGAGCAAGACCUCAUGCAAAGGAGUUGCUAACUUAGCAACACUGGCAGGAUAUAUUAGGAAUGAAUGGGAAACAGUGCGUCAGUCAGAAAGGCUAAAGUAGCGAUUGGCAGCAUGCCACAGCUAAAUGAAUAUAGCAGAAAUGCUGUUCAAUCCAUUGGAUAUCGUGUUCCAGGCUUGUUAUUGCUUCUCUUAGUUUGCCAGUGUAUUACACUUUCGCUUGUUCUGCUGAUCACCUGCAUCCCCUCCGCAGUACCUAAAUGCCCCACCUAGCUCCCCCCCAAGCUGAGCUAAGGGGUGUUGUAAGGCACAACACAAAGCAGAAUGAUUAAAACCCCUUUAGCUGUUAUAAAAUGCACUGUAACCUUCUACUUCUUGCUUCUUUCAUGUGGGCCUCAUUAUGAGCAUUUUCGAUG